rnacentral:rRNA from 1 species
AGCAUAUUAAUGAGGGGAGGAAAAGAAACUAACAAGGAUUUUCUUAGUAGCGGCGAGCGAAAAGAAAAGAGUUCAGCACUAAGUCACUUUGUCUUUAUGGCAAAUGUGAGAUGCAGUGUAUGGAAUGUCAAAUUUCUAGUAUGAGAAAUUAACGAUUUAAGUCCUUCUUAAAUGAGGCCAUUUACCCAAAGAGGGUGCCAGGCCCGUAUAACGUUAAUGAUUACUAGAUGGCAUUUCCAAAGAGUCGUGUUGCUUGAUAGUGCAGCACUAAGUGGGUGGUAAACUCCAUCUAAAACUAAAUAUAACCAUGAGACCGAUAGUAAACAAGUACCGUGAGGGAAAGUUGAAAAGAACUCUGAAUAGAGAGUUAAAUAGUACGUGAAACUGCUUAGAGGUUAAGCCCGAUGAACCUGAAUAUCCGUUAUGGAAAAUUCAUCAUUAUGAUUUUAAUAUUUAUAAUAUUAUAAUAAUGGUGUGCAUUUUUUCUAUAAAGGACAUUGUAAUCUAUUAACAUACAAAUAUUUAUCAUAAGAUCAAGGGCGUAAGUUUAUUCAAAUUAUUUUGCUUGCAAUUUAACAUAGAAUAAAUGUCUUUGAUUUGAUAAAGUGUUGAUAGAUUUAUUAUAUAUAGUGCUUAAAUAUUUAUAUUUUAUAAUAGCAUAUUAAUCAUUGAUUUUUAUGUUUAUUAUAUGCACUUAUAUGAUUAACAAUGCGAAAGAUUCAGGAUACCUUCGGGACCCGUCUUGAAACACGGACCAAGGAGUCUAACAUAUUUGCAAGUUAUUGGGAAUAAAAACCUAAUAGCGAAAUUAACAUAACUUAUUAAUGGGAUUAGUUUUUAGCCUAUUUAUAGUCUAUUAAUUCAAUCCCGGGGCGUUCUAUCAGUUAUGUAUAAUAAUAUUUAUAUUAUUUAUACCUCUAACUAGAGCGUACCUUGAGCAUAUAUGCUGUGACCCGAAAGAUGGUGAACUAUACUUGAUCAGGUUGAAGUCAGGGGAAACCCUGAUGGAAGACCGAAACAGUUCUGACGUGCAAAUCGAUUGUCAGAAUUGAGUAUAGGGGCGAAAGACCAAUCGAACCAUCUAGUAGCUGGUUCCCUCCGAAGUUUCCCUCAGGAUAGCUGGUGCAUUUAAAAAUUAUGUAAAAUAAUCUUAUCUGGUAAAGCGAAUGAUUAGAGGCCUUAGGGUCGAAACGACCUUAACCUAUUCUCAAACUUUAAAUGGGUAAGAACCUCACCUUUCUUGGUAUGAAGGUCGUGGUUGUGAUAUAAUGUGCCCAGUGGGCCACUUUUGGUAAGCAGAACUGGCGCUGUGGGAUGAACCAAACGUAAUGUUACGGUGCCCAAAUUAACAACUCAUGCAGAUACCAUGAAAGGCGUUGGUUGCUUAAAACAGCAGGACGGUGGACAUGGAAGUCGUAAUCCGCUAAGGAGUGUGUAACAACUCACCUGCCGAAGCAACUAGCCCUUAAAAUGGAUGGCGCUUAAGUUGUAUACCUAUACAUUACCGCUAAAGUAGAUGGUUUAUGUUCAAUUUCGGUUGGAUUAUAAACUUUGAAACUUUAGUGAGUAGGAGGGUACAAUGGUGAGCAUAGAAGUGUUUGGCGUAAGCCUGCAUGGAGCUGCCAUUGGUACAGAUCUUGGUGGUAGUAGCAAAUAAUCGAAUGAGACCUUGGAGGACUGAAGUGGAGAAGGGUUUCGUGUGAACAGUGGUUGAUCACGAGUUAGUCGGUCCUAAGUUCAAGGCGAAAGCCGAAAAUUUUCAAGUUAUAAUGAAAAGUAUAAAUAAUUUUACUUAGUAAUUAAACACUUGAAUAAUUUUGAACGAAAGGGAAUACGGUUCCAAUUCCGUAACCUGUUGAGUAUCCGUUUGUUAUUAAAUAUGGGCCUUGUGCUCAUCCUGGCAACAGGAACGACCAUAAAGAAGCCGUCGAGAGAUAUCGGAAGAGUUUUCUUUUCUGUUUUAUAGUCGUACUACCAUGGAAGUCUUUCGAAGAGAGAUAUGGUAGAUGGACUAGAAGAGCAUGACAUUUACUGUUGUGUCGAUAUUUUCUCCUCGGACCUUGAAAAUUUAUGGUGGGGUCACGCAAACUUCUCAACAGGCCGUACCAUACCGCAGCUGGUCUCCUAAG